CCUACGGGAGGCAGCAGUGGGGAAUAUUGCACAAUGGGGGAAACCCUGAUGCAGCGACGCCGCGUGAGUGAAGAAGUAUUUCGGUAUGUAAAGCUCUAUCAGCAGGGAAGAUAAUGACGGUACCUGACUAAGAAGCACCGGCUAAAUACGUGCCAGCAGCCGCGGUAAUACGUAUGGUGCAAGCGUUAUCCGGAUUUACUGGGCGUAAAGCGCGUCUAGGCGGUUUAGUAAGUCUGAUGUGAAAAUGCGGGGCUCAACCCCGUAUUGCGUUGGAAACUGCUAAACUAGAGUACUGGAGAGGUAGGCGGAACUACAAGUGUAGAGGUGAAAUUCGUAGAUAUUUGUAGGAAUGCCGAUGGGGAAGCCAGCCUACUGGACAGAUACUGACGCUAAAGCGCGAAAGCGUGGGUAGCAAACAGGAUUA
rnacentral:rRNA from 1 species